GACGAACGCUGGCGGCGCGCUUAACACAUGCAAGUCGAACGGAAAGGCCUGCUUUCCCUUGUGGAUUGCGGGUACUCGAGUGGCGAACGGGUGAGUAACACGUGAGUGAUCUGCCCCCAACUUGGGUAUAAGCCUGGGAAACUGGGUCUAAUUCCCGAUAGGACUGCAGGGUGGUGCCUGUGGUGGAAAACGAUUUUCUAGUGGUUGGGGAUGAGCUCGCGGCCUAUCAGCUUGUUGGUGGGGUAAUGGCCUACCAAGGCGGCGACGGGUAGCCGGCCUGAGAGGGUGAACGGCCACAUUGGGACUGAGAUACGGCCCAGACUCCUACGGGAGGCAGCAGUGGGGAAUAUUGCACAAUGGGCGGAAGCCUGAUGCAGCGACGCCGCGUGGGGGAUGACGGCCUUCGGGUUGUAAACUCCUUUCGACCGCGAGGAAGCCACCUGGUUGGAAGGGUGGUGACGGUAGUGGUAGAAGAAGCACCGGCUAACUACGUG
rnacentral:rRNA from 1 species